AGAACUGGUCGUAGAAGACUUUCGGACGCGGGUUCAAUUCCCGCCGGCUCCACCA
rnacentral:tmRNA from 1 species